rnacentral:ncRNA from 2 species
CACAGCCAAGGGAACGGGCUU